rnacentral:rRNA from 1 species
GACGUAGGGCGCGAGCGUUUGUCCGGAAUUACUGGGCGUAAAGCGCACGUAGGCGGCUUUGUAAGUUAGAGGUGAAAGCCCAGGGCUUAACCCUGGAAUUGCCUUUAAGACUGCAUCGCUAGAAUCGUGGAGAGGUGAGUGGAAUUCCGAGUGUAGAGGUGAAAUUCGUAGAUAUUCGGAAGAACACCAGUGGCGAAGGCGACUCACUGGCCCGUUACCGACGCUCAGGCGCGACAGCGUGGGGAGCAAACAGG